AAGCAAGUCGAACGGUAACAUUUCUAGCUUGCUAGAAGAUGACGAGUGGCGGACGGGUGAGUAAUGCUUGGGAACUUGCCUUUGCGAGGGGGAUAACAGUUGGAAACGACUGCUAAUACCGCAUAAUGUCUUCGGACCAAACGGGGCUUCGGCUCCGGCGCAAAGAGAGGCCCAAGUGAGAUAGCUAGUUGGUAAGGUAAUGGCUUACCAAGGCGACGAUCUCUAGCUGUUCUGAGAGGAAGAUCAGCCACACUGGGACUGAGACACGGCCCAGACUCCUACGGGAGGCAGCAGUGGGGAAUAUUGCACAAUGGGGGAAACCCUGAUGCAGCCAUGCCGCGUGUGUGAAGAAGGCCUUCGGGUUGUAAAGCACUUUCAGUUGUGAGGAAAAGUUAGUAGUUAAUACCUGCUAGCCGUGACGUUAACAACAGAAGAGGCACCGGCUAACUCCGUGCCAGCAGCCGCGGUAAUACGGAGGGUGCGAGCGUUAAUCGGAAUUACUGGGCGUAAAGCGCACGCAGGCGGUUUGUUAAGCUAGAUGUGAAAGCCCCGGGCUCA
rnacentral:rRNA from 1 species